rnacentral:rRNA from 1 species
AGAGACCCUACCCUCACAAUACCAACACUGUGCACUUUUAAUCUUAGCGAGGCUUAUUCCAUUACGGAAUUUGCUUUGCGGAUUUUCAUUUAAACACUAGUCAAAGAAUGUAACAAAAAUCAUAACAAAAAAAAACUUUCAACAACGGAUCUCUUGGCUCUCGCAUCGAUGAAGAACGCAGCGAAAUGUGAUAAGUAAUGUGAAUUGCAGAAUUCAGUGAAUCAUCGAAUCUUUGAACGCACCUUGCGCUCUCUGGUAUUCCGGAGAGCAUGCCUGUUUGAGUGUCAUGAACUCUUCAACCCACCAGUUCCUUGUUGAACUGAUUGGUGUUUGGUUUCUGAGUGUUUGCUUUAGUUUUCGGACCCAAGCUCGCUCGUAAUACAUUAGCAUUUCAAUUUCGAAAUUUCGGAUUGACUCAGCGUAAUAGACUAUUCGCUGAGGACACCUUUUCAUUAGGGUGGCCGAGAUUAUGAUAACAGUAGAUGCUUCAAAUCCCACUAGUCAUUUUUUAUUGAUUAGACCUCAAAUCAGGUAGGACUACCCGCUGAACUUAAGCAUAUCAAUAAG